CCCAGAGCCUGCAGCAUACACACUGCUACGCCUCUACACAGGACAGCACAUCGCGGGAAAUCAACAGCGACGCCAGGUACUUCUCCAGCGGCGGGACCGUUCUCAUGGCUCACCUUCUCAAAGCGGUGUGUGUGUUCGUCUCGGAGCGUCCACGGCGUCGAGGGAACAGCGUUCUGCAGCACCUCGUCAGGCCAGAUCUGUCCGACCAGCACCGAGUUUGGGACGAAGCCGAGCGAGGCUGUAGGGGGGCGAGACGGGACGCCUUCCUGCUCCAUCGGGACAGAGAUUCCAGAAACGCACUCGUGAGAGGAUCAUGUCCCGGAUAUAGAAAUAAACUCGAUUUCACAUGCACUAAUAUGUCAGGAAUAAACCUCUGUGUGUGUGCGUGUGUGUGUGUGUGCGUGUGUGUGUGUGUGUGUGCGCGCGCGGUGCUGUUAGAGGAAGCUAAUCAGUGAUGGUGUGAUGCGUUACCACAAGUGUUUUAUUCCUUUUAUACCACAGCAAUCUGCCAACGA